rnacentral:rRNA from 1 species
UGGGGAAUAUUGGACAAUGGAGGAAACUCUGAUCCAGCCAUGCCGCGUGAGUGAUGAAGGCCUUCGGGUUGUAAAGCUCUUUAGACAGGGACAAUAAUGAUGGUACCUGUAGAAUAAGCCCCGGCUAACUCUGUGCCAGCAGCCGCGGUAAUACAGAGGGGGCUAGCGUUGUUCGGAAUUACUGGGCGUAAAGCGCGCGUAGGCGGCGCGAUAAGUUAGGAGUGAAAUCCCAAGGCUUAACCUUGGAAUUGCUCUUAAGACUGUCGUGCUAGAGGUUGGUAGAGGAUGGUAGAAUUCCUAGUGUAGCGGUGAAAUGCGUAGAUAUUAGGAGGAAUACCAGUGGCGAAGGCGGCCAUCUGGACCAAUUCUGACGCUAAAGUGCGAAAGCGUGGGGAUCAAACAGG